UCUCCGUAGGUGAACCUGCGGAGGGAUCAUUACUGAGUGAGGGUCUCCGGGCCCGACCUCCAACCCUUUUGUGAACCACCUCGUUGCUUCGGGGGCGACCCUGCCGUUCGCGGCGUGGGGCCCCCGGAGCCCAUCAAACCCUGCAUUCUCUGCGUCGGAGUAUUAGUAAAUCUAAUCAAAACUUUCAACAACGGAUCUCUUGGUUCUGGCAUCGAUGAAGAACGCAGC
rnacentral:misc_RNA from 1 species